rnacentral:lncRNA from 1 species
UGACUCUACAUCUACUAAGCUAACCAUUUAGUUUGAGAAACAUAUGUAGAUAUUACAUUUUUCAAAUUUUGGAGAAGAUGUAGUCUUGUUACUUAGCUCAAUUGUUUAAGUUCUAAGUUUUAUAAGAUGAAUGCUAGAAUAUUAUGAGUUUCCUAUCUGCCCUGACAGUGUUUUCCUUAAAAGGAAGACAACAACCUGACUCUUUUCUGCUGCAAGGCUUGUACACGCCAGGGAAAAACAGACUUCAAGGUUUAUAGAACACAUCAAUUUUACCACAUUCAUGAAGAACACAGCCUACUAUUUAUUGGGUGCUAAUUAGGGGAACACAAUGACCUAAGAUCUUGAUAAGCACUAUUUUAUUUAAAUACCAACUCCAUGAUUUAGAUACUGUAAUUAUUUUUACUGACUAAACUCAUUUGCUAAAAUCUUUCUUUGCUUACUUUGUCCCAGCCUUGUGACCUUUACUAGUCCUUGAAUUUCCAUAUCAGAGUCUCUGGCACUAGCUGUUUCCCCCACCUGCACUCUUUUCCCUGAGAGUCUUGGGCGGAUUCCUUCUCAUCCCUCAGGUGUCAGCUUAAAUUUCACCUUCUAAGAGAGGCUUUUGUUGUCCACCCAAGUUAAAGCUGCUGCCUGCCUCUCCCAUAUUACUCUCUACCUUUUCCUCUACUUCUUUGGGGGGGUCUAAAAAUGUCUUCUGAUGCCCUGUGGGGAUCUCUGACACCAUUUUAAGGGAACCAUGAAGAGAACAAUGUUUUAAUAAUAAUACUAAGAUGCUUUUUUCCUUUUUGACUGUAUUGACAUUUGUACUAAUGGUGCAAAAGCUACAGCAGAUAUGACCCUUGGUGCCCUUGUAUGAAUCAAGUCAUUGGCACCAACUGCACUACUGGUCAUUGCGCUCAUCAGUGUCAUUCAGUCACAGGAUACAAACAUAAAUAAAUAAAUAAAUAAUAAGCAAAAAUAGGAACUUAAGAAUAUCCUUGAUUGGAGUUCCUGUAGUGGCACAGCAGAAAUGACUCUGACUCGUGUUCAUGAGGAUGCGGGUUCGAUCCCUGACCUUACUCAGUGGCUUAAGGAUCUGGCAUUGCCAUGAGCUAUGGUGUAGACUGGAGACACAACUUGGGUCCUAUGAUGCUGUGGCUGUGGCACAGAUCAGCAGCUGUAGCUCUGAUUCAACUAGCCUGGAAACUUCCAUAUGCUGCUCGUGUGGCCCUAAAAAGCAAAUAAAAUAAAAUAAAAUAAAAUAAUAUAUGUAUAUCUCCUUGAUGAACCAGUAAAAUAUAUUAGUUUAAUGAAAGCUUCACUCUUGUGUACAUAUUUUUUUCAGUAUUCUAUGUGAUGAAGUGGAUAGUACACAUAAAACACUUUUUUUUUAUGCCACACCCAAGACUUAUGGAAAUUCCCAGGCCAGGGGAUAGAAUCCCAGGCCAAUGCUGGAUUAACCCACUGCACUGGGCUUUAACCCACUGCACUGGGCCAGGGAUCAAACCCACACUUCUUCAGGGACCUGAGCCACAGUGAGAUUCUGGACGCACUGCACCACAGUGGGAAUUCCAACUUACAAAGCAAUUUUGAUGCACACCGAGGUAUGAUUAUCCCAAAGAAAAGCACUAGUACGACUGAAUUGAGAGCAGAAUUAUUGAUUUUUUUCCCUAGAAUAGUGUUUCUAUUCAAAAGCACAACCUAGAAACUUGUGUAUUUGGCAGAUAUUUUCUAAAACGUAAAAAAUGAAUCUGCCACUUCAAGGAAAACAAUUGAAUGUAUUUUCUGUCAGCAAUAAAAUUUGAGUUUUCUAGAAGAAAAAAUCAGAAUUUUUGAAAAUUCCUAUGUGCCACCAAAUACUUAAGAGUUUGAGUUGAAAGCUUCCAAACACUUAAGAAUUUUCUGAUGAGAGCUGUGGUUAUAUUACCAAAUGUGACCUUUUGGUAUAUCAAUUUUAUUGUUGAACUAUAGUUGAUUUACAGUGUUCCAGGUUACUGAAAAGUGACUCAGUUAUAUAUAUACAUAUAUAUAUACACUCUUUUUCAGAUUCUUUUUCAUUACAGGUUAUUACAAGAUAUUGACUAUAUCUCCCUGUGCUAUACAGUAGGUCCUUAUUGUUUAUUUAUUUUAUACUUAAUAGUGUGUAUCUGUUAACCCCAAAUUCCUAGUUUAUCUCUUCCCACUUUUCCCUUGGUAACUACAAAUUUGUUUUCUAUGUCUGUGAGUUUAUUACUGUUUUGUAAAUAAGUUUGUAUAGUAUUUUUAGAUUCCACAUAUAAGUGAUAUCAUAUGAUGUUUUCUUUCUCUAUCUGCCUUACUCAGUAUAAUAAUAUCUAGGUCCAUCUGUAUUGCUGUAUAUGGCAUUAUUUCAUUCUUUUUUCUGACUAAUACUCUGUUGCAUAUAUGUACCACAUCUUUACCCACUGAUUUGUUGAUGGAUAUUUAGGGUGCUUCCUGGUCUUGUCUAUUGUAAAUAGUGCUGCUCUGAACACUAGGCUUCGUGUACAAAUGUGAUUUUUUUAAUGUUGUAUAUGUGCAUAACUCAGUGAACAAUUAUUUUCCAGAUGACAAAUGUAUGAUGUUACAAAACCAUGAAGAUUAAAAGAUCCAUUCAAAGCAUAAACUGAUGGUUAUUAUUGUAAUGGAAUAUGAAAAGCUUAUUGGAUAUGAUUUUUAGAUGCAACAUUGCAAUUAACACUUAGGAAGCUACCACUUGUCAAAUUUCAUCAUCAGCUCACAUUCUAUUCUAUAUUUCUAAUUAUUAUUAAUUGUCCAUUUCCAUCCAUCCAUUGUUAGCCAUGGGAAGAGGGCCUACAUCUGUUUUAUUAAUUGAUAUUUCCUGUGCNUAA